AUUGAACGCUGGCGGCAGGCCUAACACAUGCAAGUCGAACGGUAACAGGAAGCAGCUUGCUGCUUCGCCGACGAGUGGCGGACGGGUGGGUAAUGUCUGGGAAACUGCCUGAUGGAGGGGGAUAACUACUGGAAACGGUAGCUAAUACCGCAUAACGUCGCAAGACCAAAGAGGGGGACCUUAGGGCCUCUUGCCAUCGGAUGUGCCCCGAUGGGAUUAGCUAGUAGGCGGGGUAACGGCUCACCUAGGCGACGAUCCCUAGCUGGUCUGAGAGGAUGACCAGCCACACUGGAACUGAGACACGGUCCAGACUCCUACGGGAGGCAGCAGUGGGGAAUAUUGCACAAUGGGCGCAAGCCUGAUGCAGCCAUGCCGCGUGUAUGAAGAGGGCCUUCGGGUUGUAAAGUACUUUCAGCGGGGAGGAAGGGAGUAAAGUUAAUACCUUUGCUCAUUGACGUUACCCGCAGAAGAAGCACCGGCUAACUCCGUG
rnacentral:rRNA from 1 species